rnacentral:rRNA from 1 species
GAUGAACGCUGGCGGCGUGCCUAAUACAUGCAAGUCGAGCGAACAGACGAGGAGCUUGCUCCUCUGACGUUAGCGGCGGACGGGUGAGUAACACGUGGAUAACCUACCUAUAAGACUGGGAUAACUUCGGGAAACAGGAGCUAAUACCGGAUAAUAUAUUGAACCGCAUGGUUCAAUAGUGAAAGAAGGUUUUGCUGUCACUUAUAGAUGGAUCCGCGCCGCAUUACCUAGUUGGUAAGGUAACGGCUUACCAAGGCGACGAUGCGUAGCCGACCUGAGGGGGUGAUCGGCCACACUGGAACUGAGACACGGUCCAGACUCCGACGGGAGGCAGCAGUAGGGAAUCUUCCGCGAUGCGCGAAUGCCUGACGGAGCAACGCCGCGUGAAUGAUGAAGGUCUUCGGAUCGUAAAACUCUGUUAUUAGGGAAGAACAAAUGUGUAAGUAACUAUGCACGUCUUGACGGUACCUAAUCAGAAAGCCACGGCUAACUACGUG